rnacentral:rRNA from 1 species
CUCGUAGGCGGUUUGGUAAGUCGGGUGUGAAAUCUCCACGCUCAACGUGGAGGGGCCACUCGAUACUGCCAUGACUCGAGUCCGGUAGAGGAGUGUGGAAUUCCCGGUGUAGCGGUGAAAUGCGCAGAUAUCGGGAGGAACACCCGUAGCGAAGGCGGCACUCUGGGCCGGAACUGACGUUGAGGAGCGAAAGCGUGGGGAGCAAACA